GUUGCUCGGCUCACUCCAACCCAAUGUGAACGUUACCAAACUGUUGCCUCGGCGGGAUCUCUGCCCCGGGUGCGUCGCAGCCCCGGACCAAGGCGCCCGCCGGAGGACCAACCAAAACUCUUAUUGUAUACCCCCUCGCGGGUUUUUUUAUAAUCUGAGCCUUCUCGGCGCCUCUCGUAGGCGUUUCGAAAAUGAAUCAAAACUUUCAACAACGGAUCUCUUGGUUCUGGCAUCGAUGAAGAACGCAGCGAAAUGCGAUAAGUAAUGUGAAUUGCAGAAUUCAGUGAAUCAUCGAAUCUUUGAACGCACAUUGCGCCCGCCAGUAUUCUGGCGGGCAUGCCUGUCCGAGCGUCAUUUCAACCCUCGAACCCCUCCGGGGGGUCGGCGUUGGGGAUCGGCCCUGCCUUGGCGGUGGCCGUCUCCGAAAUACAGUGGCGGUCUCGCCGCAGCCUCUCCUGCGCAGUAGUUUGCACACUCGCAUCGGGAGCGCGGCGCGUCCACAGCCGUUAAACACCCAACUUCUGAAAUGUUGACCUCGGAUCAGGUAGGAAUACCCGCUGAACUUAAGCAUAUCGAAGGCGGGAAAGAAUUUCCGAGUUUUCAACUCGAGAGCAGGGUGGAGGUUGCGAAGGGUUCCGGGGCGGGGUCUUUUCCCCGGGGGGCGUCGCAACCGGAAGAGGGCGCGCGAAGGACGACGGAGUCUGAUUGGGGGACCCCGGGGGGGUGUUGUUUAUAAAGUAGCCGUCUGGCCCGCGUGGGAGGCGUGUCCGAAAAUGAGAUGAAAAUUUCGACAAGGGAAUAUGUGGGUUGUUGGGCUGCAGUUGAAAAAGCAGCGAAGUG
rnacentral:rRNA from 1 species